UACGUAGGGUGCGAGCGUUAAUCGGAAUUACUGGGCGUAAAGCGUGCGCAGGCGGUUGUGCAAGACAGAUGUGAAAUCCCCGGGCUUAACCUGGGAACUGCAUUUGUGACUGCACGGCUAGAGUGUGUCAGAGGGGGGUAGAAUUCCACGUGUAGCAGUGAAAUGCGUAGAUAUGUGGAGGAAUACCGAUGGCGAAGGCAGCCCCCCUGGGAUAACACUGACGCUCAUGCACGAAAGCGUGGGGAGCAAACAGG
rnacentral:rRNA from 1 species